UGUACUGCUACAUAUAUACAUUCCUUAUCUAUGUGCUAUCAAAAUGAAGAACAUUUUUGUAACAGAAAUUUAUAUUUCAUUUUUUAGAGAAACCAUCCUUGUUAAAGAUGUGACAUUAAUCCCUCCAAACCUACAAAACACAAUUGAUAAGGUAAGUUGCAGAUUAUCUGAGAUAUUUUUGAUUAUCAUCCCAAGAAAUGUAGCAUACAUGCAUGUAUUACUCUUCUUUCAUUUAUAUGAUAAUGAAGAUACAUGUAUCUUGUAAUUUGUACAGUUGUAUAUGUAUUUCUGCCAUCUGUCACUGUUAAUUUAAAUGUACAUUAGGGGUCAGUAAAUAAUCAAAACAUGAUACAUGUAUAAAGACUAAUGGUGUGUAUUUUCAUUAAAUAAUACACAGGUUUUUUUUUUUGUGUUCAGAUUGAUAGCAAUUUUGUUGUCAAUUGUUGUAGUGUCAUUGAUAAAUGAAUGAAAUAAAUGGUUGUACCUAAAAUUAUUUGAAACAUGUCUGAACUUAACUUAUAUAUAGAUACAAAUUACAUUGUAUUAUAACCAAUUUUUAUUUACAUUUGUAUAUCUAUAUGUACAUGUACAUGAUCAAUGUAUCAAUGAUGACAAGGAACUUUUUAAUUAAAUUUCAGAGAUGCUAAUUAACCUUGUUAAUGACUGUGGAGAACUUAUGCUACAUUUACCUAAUACACAGACAAACACAAAUGGGCAUACAUGUAGGUAAUAAAUAGAGCAGUUUUCUAAGAUACAUGUUCAUGUUUAUUGUUAUAUCAUGUAUAUUAUGCCUUGUCUUUAAAAAAUAUAGAUAUGAAACAUGAACACAUAUGUACAUGUUCCAUGUUUACAUGUAUUAGAGAGUUAUCUAACCUGUUUAAAAGCUGAUAACUACUUAGUACUAUCAAAAUUUUAGUCUAUUUGUUUCUCUAUUUGUCCAUGAUUUAUCUUAUAAUGGAUAGAGUUUGAAAAUUAAAUCUAUAAAGUUGGAUAAAAUAUUCAUAAUGCUUGCAUUGGUACAAAGCCAUUUUGAAAAUAAGAAGAUGUGGUAUGAUUGCCAAUAUGAAAACUCUCCCCAAUACAUGUACUUCACAUGACAUAUAAAGGAACCACUUUAAGUCACCAUACAACCUUACACAAUAAGACAAACCCAUACUACAUAAUCAGCUAUAAAUUUAAACAAUUCAAAGGAGAAGACUAAAUACAACUACUGAAUUAUUGGUUAUACAGCAUUAAAAUACAACUACUGAAUUACUGGUUCCUGACUUGGGACAGGCACAUACAGAAUGUGGCAGGGAUAAACUAGAUUGAACUUUAUUAAAAAAUUACCCAUUAUCAAACUAAAAAUGCCUAUUACUAAGUGAACUCAGAUUACUCUGCUGUUUACAUAUUUGUUAAACUAUAAUUUGCUUCUUGUAGAAAUUAGCCUGUGAGAUCAAGAUGCAGAUAUAUCCACCAGAUACCAAAUGCCACACCAAAGCAGACAUUUUCAAAUGUUGAGAGACCUAUGAAUACAUCUACAUCCUUCUUC
rnacentral:lncRNA from 1 species